CGGGAAAGUGUCAACGUUAGGAGGAUUUUCUUUAAUUUUCCCCUCUUAAUUAUCUGCAAUGCACAGCAGCAGAGGGCUGAAGCUGCUGCUCAGUGCUCCCCGGUGCUGAUUUUCCAGCACCACCAGAGGGCAGCGCACGUCUGAAAUUCAGCUGCAGCUCGCAGGGGCGGAGUGCUGUGGGACGAGAAGAGGGGCAAAGGCAGUGCUCUGUCCACAGCCUGUGAAUUGUAAGGAUCUCCCCCAGAACUGCACCGAGCAAUAGAGGGAAAGUGAUUCUCGGUGCUGCACGGUGCAAAUGAAUGUAUAACUCGACUUGUACGCAGUGUAUAGCACAGGGCACCUGGAGGAUGGGGUAAAGAAACAAAACAUAGGCAGAAGGACAGUCUACACCUCGGGGGAUAUUAAAGAUAUACAGCAAAACUUCAAGCAAGCUGUAAUGGAGAAAAAUGAGCGUAGGAGGGAAAUUAAGGAAAGGAAUCUGAAGCAUUAACCACAGCCUCAUGCCAUGGCAGUGCCACCGUCAGGAGGUGGCUCAGUGGUGACAGCCACCAGGAG
ensembl:lncRNA